UACGUAGGGGGCUAGCGUUGUCCGGAAUCAUUGGGCGUAAAGAGCGUGUAGGCGGCCCGGUAAGUCCGCUGUGAAAGUCAAAGGCUCAACCUUUGAAUGUCAGCGGAUACUGCCGGGCUAGAGUCCGGAAGAGGAGAAUGGAAUUCCCGGUGUAGCGGUGAAAUGCGUAGAUAUCGGUAGGAACACCAGUGGCGAAGGCGGUCUUCUGGAGCACUCUUGACGCUGAGGCGCGAAAGCUGGGGGAGCGAACGGG
rnacentral:rRNA from 1 species